UUACUUUCUUGGCCAUUUGGCCAAGAUCAAGUGCAGUAUCUGUUCUUAUCAGUGUACUAUCUGAUAAGUGGGCCAUCGGCUCACAUCAUAUAAAAUUAAUUUCUUGUGGGGGAGGGCCCACCACAGUAGCUUGCUAGUGAGGCCCUCGAGCGUCGUCCUUGCAUUGUAAUGCUGCAUGGGCCUGGCGCACCCCUC